rnacentral:rRNA from 1 species
UACGUAGGGGGCAAGCGUUGGUCCGGAAUCAUUGGGCGUAAAGAGCGUGUAGGCGGUCCGGUAAGUCGGCUGUGAAAGUCCAAGGCUCAACCUUGGGAUGCCGGUCGAUACUGCCGGACUAGAGUUCGGAAGAGGCGAGUGGAAUUCCCGGUGUAGCGGUGAAAUGCGCAGAUAUCGGGAGGAACACCUAUGGCGAAGGCAGCUCGCUGGGACGUUACUGACGCUGAGACGCGAAAGCGUGGGGAGCAAACAGG